GCUGGGCAUGGUGGAGCACACCUGUAAUUCCAGCGACUCAGGAGGCUGAGGGAGGAGGAUUGCGAGUUCAAAGCCAGCCUCAGCAAUGGUGAGGUGCUAAGCAACUCAGUGAGCCCCUUUCUCUA
rnacentral:sRNA from 1 species